AUCAUGGCUCAGGAUGAACGCUAGCUACAGGCUUAACACAUGCAAGUCGAGGGGCAGCGCAGUGUAGCAAUACAUGGGCGGCGACCGGCGCACGGGUGCGUAACGCGUAUCCAAUCUUCCCGUUACUCAGGGAUAGCCUUCCGAAAGGGAGAUUAAUACCCGAUGGGAUGCAUUUCCGGCAUCGGAGAUGCAUUAAAGAUUUUAUCGGUGACGGAUGAGGAUGCGUACGAUUAGCUUGUUGGCGGGGUAACGGCCCACCAAGGCUACGAUCGUUAGGGGUUCUGAGAGGAAGGUCCCCCACACUGGAACUGAGACACGGUCCAGACUCCUACGGGAGGCAGCAGUGAGGAAUAUUGGUCAAUGGGCGGGAGCCUGAACCAGCCAAGUAGCGUGAAGGAUGACUGCCCUACGGGUUGUAAACUUCUUUUGUUUGGGAAUAAAAGACGCUACGUGUAGCGUUGUGCAUGUACCUUACGAAUAAGCAUCGGCUAAUUCCGUG
rnacentral:rRNA from 1 species